CACGAAACGCCAAAAUGAUGAGAACACUGUUCAAGAACCGAUAUUUUUAGGAAGAGCCGGAAGAGGUAUGGCAGGGGACUUGAAUAAUAGAAGCUCCUGCCGUCGGUGCUUAUAAUGGUUCUACUGAAUGGUGUUUCGCU
rnacentral:snoRNA from 18 species